AUUGAACGCUGGCGGCAGGCUUAACACAUGCAAGUCGAGCGGAAACGAUGGUAGCUUGCUACCAGGCGUCGAGCGGCGGACGGGUGAGUAAUACUUAGGAAUCUACCUAGUAGUGGGGGAUAGCACGGGGAAACUCGUAUUAAUACCGCAUACGACCUACGGGAGAAAGGGGGCAGUUUACUGCUCUCGCUAUUAGAUGAGCCUAAGUCGGAUUAGCUAGAUGGUGGGGUAAGGGCCUACCAUGGCGACGAUCUGUAGCUGGUCUGAGAGGAUGAUCAGCCACACCGGGACUGAGACACGGCCCGGACUCCUACGGGAGGCAGCAGUGGGGAAUAUUGGACAAUGGGGGAAACCCUGAUCCAGCCAUGCCGCGUGUGUGAAGAAGGCCUUUUGGUUGUAAAGCACUUUAAGCAGUGAAGAAGACUCUUCGGUUAAUACCCGGAGACGAUGACAUUAGCUGCAGAAUAAGCACCGGCCAACUCUGUGCCAGCAGCCGCGGUAAUACAGAGGGUGCAAGCGUUAAUCGGAAUUACUGGGCGUAAAGCGAGCGUAGGUGGCUUGAUAAGUCAGAUGUGAAAUCCCCGGGCUUAACCUGGGAACUGCAUCUGAAACUGUUAGGCUAGAGUAGGUGAGAGGGAAGUAGAAUUUCAGGUGUAGCGGUGAAAUGCGUAGAGAUCUGAAGGAAUACCGAUGGCGAAGGCAGCUUCCUGGCAUCAUACUGACACUGAGGCUCGAAAGCGUGGGUAGCAAACAGGAUUAGAUACCCUGGUAGUCCACGCCGUAAACGAUGUCUACUAGUCGUUGGGUCCCUUGAGGACUUAGUGACGCAGCUAACGCAAUAAGUAGACCGCCUGGGGAGUACGGCCGCAAGGUUAAAACUCAAAUGAAUUGACGGGGGCUCACACAAGCGGUGGAGCAUGUGGCUUAAUUCGAAGCAACGCGAAGAACCUUAUCCUAGGCUUGACAUGUACGUAUUAACUCCCCGAAAAGGGAGCCACUC
rnacentral:rRNA from 1 species